UGAUAUUAUCGCUAUUUUGUUCAUUUUUCCUUUGAUCUUUUUUUGUGAUAAUUUUUCAUAUCAUGCUACUCGCUUGAGAUGGAAAAUUAUUGCUAGAAACUAAGGAGCCACGUGGCGUUGCUAAUGAAAUUGAUAUGAAAUUGACAACGUCGUCAUAGGUAAAAUAGCGAUAAACAGAUUAUCAUUGGUCAUCUCAACUCGAUUGCUUUUCUCGCUUU
rnacentral:lncRNA from 1 species